AGUGUUGUCUAAUAAGACUAUAGUUUGUGAAUUUCGUUAAGGUUCUGAUCUCGUGACCAUCGUUAGGUUUGAUUUGGUUUAACACUAAUACGUAUUCCACUCUGUCAAACUAAAUGUUUAACUACCAGAAAACUCUGCACUACACACUUACAAUCAAAAUAGAUGCUUAGUUAUCAGAAGACUUAGAAUCAGGAGGCCUGUUAAAUCAAGACUAUAUGCUAACAAGGUGAUUACAGUAGAUCGGAAUAAGAGUUGUGAUACGGCACCGAAAGGCUUAAAGAAGUGGCUUAUUUUAUCAAAUGAAUUAAAUUAA